rnacentral:rRNA from 1 species
UACGUAGGGGGCAAGCGUUGUCCGGAAUUAUUGGGCGUAAAGCGCGUGUAGGCGGUCCGGUUAGUCGGCUGUGAAAGUCAAGGGCUCAACCCUUGAAUGCCGGUCGAUACUGCCGGACUAGAGUACCGGAAGAGGCAAGUGGGAAUUCCCGGUGUAGCGGUGAAAUGCGCAGAUAUCGGGAGGAACACCAAUGGCGAAGGCGAGCUUGCCUGGGACGGUA